rnacentral:rRNA from 1 species
AGUGAACGCUGGCGGUAGGCCUAACACAUGCAAGUCGAACGGCAGCACAGUAAAAGCUUGCUCUUACGGGUGGCGAGUGGCGGACGGGUGAGGAAUACAUCGGAAUCUACUUUUUCGUGGGGAUAACGUAGGGAAACUUACGCUAAUACCGCAUACGACCUACGGGUGAAAGCAGGGGAUCUUCGGACCUUGCGCGAUUGAAUGAGCCGAUGUCGGAUUAGCUAGCUGGCGGGGUAAAGGCCCACCAAGGCGACGAUCCGUAGCUGGUCUGAGAGGAUGAUCAGCCACACUGGAACUGAGACACGGUCCAGACUCCUACGGGAGGCAGCAGUGGGGAAUAUUGGACAAUGGGCGCAAGCCUGAUCCAGCCAUACCGCGUGGGUGAAGAAGGCCUUCGGGUUGUAAAGCCCUUUUGUUGGGAAAGAAAAGCAGCAGGUUAAUACCCCGCUGUUCUGACGGUACCCAAAGAAUAAGCACCGGCUAACUUCGUG